rnacentral:rRNA from 1 species
GAUGAACGCUGGCGGCGUGCCUAAUACAUGCAAGUCGAGCGAACAGACGAGGAGCUUGCUCCUCUGACGUUAGCGGCGGACGGGUGAGUAACACGUGGAUAACCUACCUAUAAUACUGGGAUAACUUCGGGAAACCGGAGCUAAUACCGGAUAAUAUAUUGAACCGCAUGGUUCAAUAGUGAAAGACGGUUUUGCUUUCACUUAUAGAUGGAUCCGCGCCGCAUUAGCUAGUUGGUAAGGUAACGGCUUACCAAGGCAACGAUGCGUAGCCGACCUGAGAGGGUGAUAGGCCACACUGGAACGGAGACACGGACCAUACUCCUACGGGAGGCAGCAGUAGGGAAUCUUCCGCAAUGGGCGAAAGCUUGACGGAGCAACGCCGCGUGAGUGAUGAAGGUCUUCGGAUCGUAAAACUCUGUUACUAGGGAAGAACAAAUGUGUAAGUAACUAUGCACGUCUUGACGGUACCUAAUCAGAAAGCCACGGCUAACUACGUG